AAUGAACGCUGGCGGCGUGCCUAACACAUGCAAGUCGGAUGUGCCCGCAAGGGUGCAUGGCAGACGGGUGAGUAACGCGUGGGGAACCUACCUCUUUGUGGGGAAUAACGUUCCGAAAGGAAUGGUAAUACCGCAUGAGACCUUCGGCUGGGAUGCUGGAGGUGAAACCUGGGGACCGUAAGGCCUGGGGCAAGGAGAGGGUCCUGCGUCUGAUUAGCUAGUUGGCGGGGUAAUGGCCCACCAAGGCGACGAUCAGUAGCCGGCCUGAGAGGGUGAUCGGCCACACUGGAACUGAGACACGGUCCAGACUCCUACGGGAGGCAGCAGUGGGGAAUUUUGCGCAAUGGACGAAAGUCUGACGCAGCAACGCCGCGUGGGUGAUGAAGGUCUUCGGAUUGUAAAACCCUGUCGUCAGGGACGAAGGUUGGGGCUUUAAUAGAGUUUCGAACUUGACGGUACCUGGAGAGGAAGCCCCGGCUAACUCUGUG
rnacentral:rRNA from 1 species